rnacentral:rRNA from 1 species
UACGUAGGGUGCAAGCGUUAAUCGGAAUUACUGGGCGUAAAGCGUGCGCAGGCGGCUCCGCAUGUCGGGCGUGAAAUCCCCGGGCUCAACCUGGGAACUGCAUUUGUGACUGCACGGCUAGAGUGUGUCAGAGGGGGGUAGAAUUCCACGUGUAGCAGUGAAAUGCGUAGAUAUGUGGAGGAAUACCGAUGGCGAAGGCAGCCCCCUGGAUAACACUGACGCUCAUGCACGAAAGCGUGGGGAGCAAACAGG